ACUCAUGGUUGGGAUAAUGCAAAGUAGUCAUUUGACCUGAGGCAUCAUAGUUGUCUUGUGGUUAAGUCAUUGAUCUUUGAUUAUGUCAAAGUCACCCCAUCCGCGAUGUCCACGGCAUCGUUGGGGUUAAGCCACUUAGCUAUGGAGGCAAGUGAAUGCGCAACAAGGGAUCUCUAACCUUCAAACCGUUUAGGGGAGAAUACUCUAUGAUAUGAUUUAGAAUCUCUGGCCAGAGUAUGAAUGAGAUUUAGGAAAGUCGUUCCAUAUCACAUUCAAGGUAAUCAUAUAAGCACACGAAUCACAUUGGAUAGUAGACAUGAAUAAACUAUCAAACCAAACAAUGUGGUCAAGAGUAUUGUAUUAGAGAAAGACCGUAUUGCAUUCGUAAUCCUAAACUGAAUAGGUUCUCUACCUCUUCUGAUUAGCUUGGGUAACCAUGAUAUGCUGCUAGGUGUCACUCUUGGUUUGUGGAAGCCCUAAACGUGUAA
rnacentral:lncRNA from 1 species